rnacentral:rRNA from 1 species
CCUACGGGAGGCAGCAGUGGGGAAUAUUGCACAAUGGGGGAAACCCUGAUGCAGCGACGCCGCGUGAGUGAAGCAGUAUUUCGGUAUGUAAAGCUCUAUCAGCAGGGAAGAAAAUGACGGUACCUGAUUCAGAAGCCCCGGCUAACUACGUGCCAGCAGCCGCGGUAAUACGUAGGGGGCAAGCGUUAUCCGGAUUUACUGGGUGUAAAGGGAGCGUAGACGGCAGCACAAGUCUGGAGUGAAAUGCCGGGGCUUAACCCCGGAACUGCUUUGGAAACUGUGCAGCUAGAGUGCAGGAGAGGUAAGGGGAAUUCCUGGUGUAGCGGUGAAAUGCGUAGAUAUUAGGAGGAACACCAGUGGCGAAGGCGGCUUACUGGACUGUAACUGACGUUGAGGCUCGAAAGCGUGGGGAGCAAACAGGAUUAGAUACCCCAGUAGUC